GAUGAACGCUGGCGGCGUGCCUAAUACAUGCAAGUCGAGCGAACAGACGCGGCGCUUGCUCCUCUGACGUUAGCGGCGGACGGGUGAGUCACACGUGGAUAACCUACCUCUACGACUUGGAUAUCUUCGGGAAACCGGAGCUCAUACCGGAUAAUAUAUUUAACCGCAUGGUUCAAUAGUGAAAGCCGUUUUUGCUGUCACUUCUAGAUGGCUCCGGGCCGCAUUAGCGAGUUGGUAAGGUAACGGCUUCCCAAGGCAACGAUGCGUAGCCGACCUGAGAGGGUGAUCGGCGACACUGGGACUGAGACACGGUCCAGACUCCGACGGGAGGCAGCGGUAGGGAAUCUACCGCGAUGGGCGGAAGCCUGACGGAGCAACGCCACGUGAAUGAUGAAGGUCUUCGGGUCGGAAAACUCUGUUAUUAGGGAAGAACAAAUGUGUAAGUAACUAUGCACGUCGUGACGGUACCUAAUCAGAAAGCCACGGCUAACUACGUG
rnacentral:rRNA from 1 species